rnacentral:rRNA from 1 species
UAGGGAAUCUUCGGCAAUGGACGGAAGUCUGACCGAGCAACGCCGCGUGAGUGAAGAAGGUUUUCGGAUCGUAAAGCUCUGUUGUUAGAGAAGAACGUUGGUAGGAGUGGAAAAUCUACCAAGUGACGAUAACUAACCAGAAAGGGACGGCUAACUACGUGCCAGCAGCCGCGGUAAUACGUAGGUCCCGAGCGUUGUCCGGAUUUAUUGGGCGUAAAGCGAGCGCAGGCGGUUCUUUAAGUCUGAAGUUAAAGGCAGUGGCUUAACCAUUGUACGCUUUGGAAACUGGAGGACUUGAGUGCAGAAGGGGAGAGUGGAAUUCCAUGUGUAGCGGUGAAAUGCGUAGAUAUAUGGAGGAGCACCGGUGGCGAAAGCGGCUCUCUGGUCUGUAACUGACGCUGAGGCUCGAAAGCGUGGGGAGCAAACAGG